AUGUGAUUGUCAUCUUGAUGGCAAAGGCGUUCAUGGAGUCCUUUCCCAAAAUAGCAGACAUGACAUUUGAAACAACAAUUAAAGCAAUGGUACAGCAGCGUGAAGCAACUGCUUUACAUAUACUGGGAGCCUCAGUGUUGGAGGCAGAAAACAAUUGGGCCAUGUGUUC